rnacentral:rRNA from 1 species
AGUCACUGACAUUAGAUACCCCCGUAGUCCAGGGUGUAAACGCUGCAGACUUGGUGUUGGAAGCCCGUUUGGGGGCAUUCAGUGCCGGAGAGAAGUUGUUAAGUCUGCUACUUGGGGAGUACGUCCGCAAGGAUGAAACUUAAAGGAAUUGGCGGGGAGCACCACAACGGGUGGAGCCUGCGGUUUAAUUGGACUCAACGCCGGAAAUCUCACCGGAUAGGACAGACAUAUGAUAGUCGGGCUGAAGACUCUACUUGAUGAUCUG